rnacentral:rRNA from 1 species
UACGUAGGUGACAAGCGUUGUCCGGAUUUACUGGGCGUAAAGAGCGCGCAGGCGGUCGUUCAAGUCGAGUGUGAAAGCCCCCGGCUCAACUGGGGAGGGUCACUCGAUACUGAUCGACUCGAAGGCAGGAGAGGGAAGCGGAAUUCCCGGUGUAGUGGUGAAAUGCGUAGAUAUCGGGAGGAACACCAGUGGCGAAGGCGGCUUUCUGGCCUGCUCUUGACGCUGAGGCGCGAAAGCUAGGGUAGCAAACGGG